rnacentral:rRNA from 1 species
GAUGAACGCUAGCGGCAGGCUUAAUACAUGCAAGUCGAGGGGUAGCAAGAUUGUAGCAAUACAAUUGUUGACGACCGGCAAACGGGUGCGGAACACGUACACAACCUUCCUACAAGUGGGGAAUAGCCCAGAGAAAUUUGGAUUAAUACCCCGUAACAUAGCGAUGUGGCAUCACAUUGCUAUUAUAGCUUCGGCGCUUGUUGAUGGGUGUGCGGCUGAUUAGAUAGUUGGUGGGGUAACGGCCCACCAAGUCUACGAUCAGUAGCUGAUGUGAGAGCAUGAUCAGCCACACGGGCACUGAGACACGGGCCCGACUCCUACGGGAGGCAGCAGUAAGGAAUAUUGGACAAUGGACGCAAGUCUGAUCCAACCAUGCCGCGUGAAGGAUUAAGGUCCUCUGGAUUGUAAACUUCUUUUAUAAGGGACGAAAAAAGGUCUUUCUAGAUCGUCUGACGGUACCUUAUGAAUAAGCACCGGCUAACUCCGUGCCAGCCGCCGCAGUAAUAC